UACGGAGGAUGCAAGCGUUAUCCGGAAUUAUUGGGCGUAAAGCGUCCGCAGGUGGCUAUGUAAGUCUGCUGUUAAAGAGUGAGGCUCAACCUCAUAAGAGCAGUGGAAACUACAUGGCUAGAGUGCGUUCGGGGCAGAGGGAAUUCCUGGUGUAGCGGUGAAAUGCGUAGAUAUCAGGAAGAACACCGGUGGCGAAAGCGCUCUGCUAGGCCGCAACUGACACUGAGGGACGAAAGCUAGGGGAGCGAAUGGG
rnacentral:rRNA from 1 species